rnacentral:lncRNA from 1 species
CCCCUCCUUUUGAAAAAAUGCCUUGUCUUUUUAUGCUAUUAUUAAUUUUGAAUUAAGCACUCCUGUUAGAUGACACUUUCAUUUAAGACUUGCAAGCUCUUUCUGUACUCUUCUAAGCUGAAUCUAUUUCUUCUUUUUUUUUUUGUCUCAUAUUUGAUAUACAUACUCUAUCUUUUUUGUUACAGUAUUUGACAUGUAGCUCCUCUAAUUUUUUUAUUAUGGUAC